rnacentral:lncRNA from 1 species
UAGGAUUAAGAACACAAUCAAAAAGACAAUGGAAGAAAGAGCAAUUGCCACACCAAGAACAAAUUUGUUUGGACCAUGAUGAUGCUCUCUUUUAUGGAUGCUACUUUCAUCAUCCUCUUCAUCAUAAUCUGAAUCAUUACUAUCAUCUCCAGAAGAAUCUUUAGCAGGUGGUGGAGACAUUGGCCUCCCAUACUUAUCACAAGCAGCAAUCUCAAGCUUCAAUUUUGAAGACAAAACUGAAUGAUUAUAACACAAGUUACUGUUCCCAACAACCUUAAACAUUGUCAAACUUUUGAUAAAACUCAAGUUGAAUGGAACAACCCCAUGAAGAUUAUUGUUAGCAAGAUUCAAGUACUUGAGGUUCUUCAUUUCUGAAAUGAACUUUGGAAUUGUUCCAUUGAGCUGGUUUGAACUCAGAUCCAUGUGAACCAAACCUGGAAUUGCAGAAAUUGAAUCUGGGAUAGACCCUGAAAAUGAAUUUGAAGCCAAAGAAAGAUUUUUAAGGGAAAUUAAGUCCCCUAAUGAAGAGGGUAUCUCACCCUUCAGCCCAUUUGAAGAAAGAUUCAAACUUUCAAGGCCAUCAAGCAUGGUAAUGGAAAAGGGUAUGUUUCCUUUGAGAUUGUUGGAUGAAAAAUCUAUGUGGGUCAGGUUGGAAUGGAUGUAUUUUGGUAGAAAACCAGUGAGAUUGGAAUUGGAAAUGGUUAAAGUUUUGAGCUUUUUCAUGUGAGCAAGGAUAACAUAAGGUCCAGAAGCUUUGAUUGGGGUAUUUGAGACAGUGAGAUCAGUGAGGUUUGCUAGGUGAGAGAGCCAUACACCUGAGAUCUUGUGGAGACUGUUGAUGGAGGUGAAGGAGAGAAGAGAGGAUGUGAGUUGAGGAGGGAAGUGAAUUGGAGCAAUGGGGCAGUUAAGGAAGUGAAGGGAUUGGAGGGUAGAGAGGGAUUUGAGGGCAUUGUAGGAGAGAGAUAGGGAGGUUGAACAGUUUGAAAGGGUAAGGGAAAUGAGGUGGCUAAAGGGUUUUGAAGAGUCACAUUGUGUGGCAUUGUGGAAAGAUGGUUGGAUGCAAGGGUUCUUUGAUGUGGGGAUGUUGAGGGAUUGAAGGGCUUUGAGUUGGUUUGGCUCAAGAGUGGAAGUGGAAGUGGAAGGUGAAGAAGGUGAUGAUUUAGGUGGAAGAGGUAGAGAAACUGAGGUGAUAAUGGUGGGGAAGAGGAAGAAGAUGGUGAAGAGGAGAAUAGGAAGUAAUGGAGGUGGUGGUGAUGGUUUCAUAGCUUGAUGAUAGGUAACAGGUGCACAAGCAGAACUGAGAAACUGAAGGAUGGAAGAGGGAUAGAGAGAGUGUGGGAUAAAGAGAAAGAAGUAUGGAAGCAAUGGUUGAAAAAGUGAGAUGUUAGAGUGAGUACAAAGAUUAGUAUGGGAAAGUGUAAAAUAGAGAGAUGGGGCACAUAUUUAGAAGAGAGAGAGAAGCCUUUGCAUUGCACAGGUCUGUGACAGUUGGGACUUGGGAUUGGGAUUACUUCAUGGCUUAGCUUUGUUUGUUCCUUUUGAUCCAAGACAGUUCUAAUUCUAAACUAGUAAACUA